CCUACGGGUGGCAGCAGUGGGGAAUAUUGGGCAAUGGGCGCGAGCCUGACCCAGCAACGCCGCGUGAAGGAAGAAGGCUUUCGGGUUGUUAACUUCUUUUUAUAGAGAAGAGCAGAAGACGAUACCUCUUUAAUAAGCCACAGCUAACUACGUGCCAUCGGCCGCGGUCAUACGUAGGUGGCAAGCGUUGUCCGGGUUUACUGGGUUAAACGGGCGUUAAGCGGGGAAGGCAAGUCAGAUGUGAAAGCCGGCGGCGCAACCGCGGAACUGCAUUUGAAACUGUUUUUCUUGAGUACAGGUGAGGUAAUCGGAAUUCCUUGUGUAGCGGUGAAAUGCGUAGAUAUAAGGAAGAACACCGAUGGCGAAGGCGGAUGACUGGACGGCAACUGACGGUGAGGCGCGAAAGCGUGGGUAGCAAACAGGAUUAGAUACCCUAGUAGUC
rnacentral:rRNA from 1 species